rnacentral:rRNA from 1 species
UCUACAGGCUUAACACAUGCAAGUCGAGGGGCAUCAGGAAGAAAGCUUGCUUUCUUUGCUGGCGACCGGCGCACGGGUGAGUAACACGUAUCCAACCUGCCCUUUACUCGGGGAUAGCCUUUCGAAAGAAAGAUUAAUACCCGAUAGCAUAAUGAUUCCGCAUGGUUUCAUUAUUAAAGGAUUCCGGUAAAGGAUGGGGAUGCGUUCCAUUAGGUUGUUGGUGAGGUAACGGCCCACCAAGCCUUCGAUGGAUAGGGGUUCUGAGAGGAAGGUCCCCCACAUUGGAACUGAGACACGGUCCAAACUCCUACGGGAGGCAGCAGUGAGGAAUAUUGGUCAAUGGGCGGUAGCCUGAACCAGCCAAGUAGCGUGAAGGAUGAAGGCUCUAUGGGUCGUAAACUUCUUUUAUAUAAGAAUAAAGUGCAGUAUGUAUACUGUUUUGUAUGUAUUAUAUGAAUAAGGAUCGGCUAACUCCGUGCCAGCAGCCGCGGUAAUACGGAGGAUCCGAGCGUUAUCCGGAUUUAUUGGGUUUAAAGGGAGCGUAGGUGGACUGGUAAGUCAGUUGUGAAAGUUUGCGGCUCAACCGUAAAAUUGCAGUUGAUACUGUCAGUCUUGAGUACAGUAGAGGUGGGCGGAAUUCGUGGUGUAGCGGUGAAAUGCUUAGAUAUCACGAAGAACUCCGAUUGCGAAGGGCAGCUCACUGGACUGCAACUGACACUGAUGCUCGAAAGUGUGGGUAUCAAACAGGAUUAGAUACCCUGGUAGUCCACACAGUAAACGAUGAAUACUCGCUGUUUGCGAUAUACAGUAAGCGGCCAAGCGAAAGCAUUAAGUAUUCCACCUGGGGAGUACGCCGGCAACGGUGAAACUCAAAGGAAUUGACGGGGGCCCGCACAAGCGGAGGAACAUGUGGUUUAAUUCGAUGAUACGCGAGGAACCUUACCCGGGCUUAAAUUGCAGUGGAAUGAUGUGGAAACAUGUCAGUGAGCAAUCACCGCUGUGAAGGUGCUGCAUGGUUGUCGUCAGCUCGUGCCGUGAGGUGUCGGCUUAAGUGCCAUAACGAGCGCAACCCUUAUCUUCAGUUACUAACAGGUUAUGCUGAGGACUCUGGAGAGACUGCCGUCGUAAGAUGUGAGGAAGGUGGGGAUGACGUCAAAUCAGCACGGCCCUUACGUCCGGGGCUACACACGUGUUACAAUGGGGGGUACAGAAGGCAGCUAGCGGGUGACCGUAUGCUAAUCCCAAAAUCCUCUCUCAGUUCGGAUCGAAGUCUGCAACCCGACUUCGUGAAGCUGGAUUCGCUAGUAAUCGCGCAUCAGCCACGGCGCGGUGAAUACGUUCCCGGGCCUUGUACACACCGCCCGUCAAGCCAUGGGAGCCGGGGGUACCUGAAGUACGUAACCGCAAGGAUCGUCCUAGGGUAAAACUGGUGACUGGGGC